rnacentral:rRNA from 1 species
CGCAUCUGUGCAUGCAGCAUAUCAAUAAGCGGAGGAAAAGAAACUAACAAGGAUUCCCCUAGUAACGGCGAGUGAAGCGGGAAGAGCUCAAAUUUGAAAUCUUAAAGGGUUUCCCUUUACGAAUUGUAGUUUAAAGAAGUGUUUUCUGUUGAGGUUUUGGUAAAAGUUCUUUGGAAUAGGACAUCAUAGAGGGUGAGAAUCCCGUAUUUGACCUUUACUUUCAACUUUGUGAUACACUUUCAAAGAGUCGGAUUGUUUGGGAAUGCAGUCCAAAAUGGGUGGUAAAUUUCAUCUAAAGCUAAAUAUUGGCGAGAGACCGAUAGCGAACAAGUACCGUGAGGGAAAGAUGAAAAGAACUUUGAAAAGAGAGUUAAACAGUACGUGAAAUUGUCAAAAGGGAAGCGUUUGACACCAGUGUUGUUUUUCCUGAAAAUCAAUUAAAGAACUGUUUAUGCUAAGCUUGUUUAGACUUUAUCAGCUAACUGUUUAGUUUUGAGCUUUUCUUUAAUGCACUUUUCAGUUAACAAGUCAACAUCAAUUUCUUUUGCUGUAAAAAAGCUUGAGGAAGGUGGCUUGAGAUUCGUCUUAAGUGUUUAUAGCCUCUUGCCUAUGCAGUCGGAGAGAUUGAGGUCUGCAGCGUAGAUCCUUCGGGGCUAAAUGCAUUUGUGCUAAGUUAUAGCAUUUUAUAGACAACUUGUUGACUAUGAUUUGUCUUGUAGCUUACUCGCUUAUGUUAUUUUACCUACGCUUAGGAUGUUGAACGCGCACAGAGUCUC